rnacentral:rRNA from 1 species
UUUUACGGAGAGUUUGAUCCUGGCUCAGGAUGAACGCUGGCGGCGUGCUUAACACAUGCAAGUCGAACGAUGAAGCCCAGCUUGCUGGGUGGAUUAG